UACGUACUGUGCGAACGUUAUUCGGAAUCACUGGGCUUAAAGGGUGCGUAGGCGGUUAUUUAAGUAGGAUGUGAAAUCUCCCGGCUCAACCGGGGAACUGCGUUCUAAACUGGAUAACUUGAGUAAGAUAGAGGUGUGCGGAACUUCCGGUGGAGCGGUGAAAUGUGUUGAUAUCGGAGGGAACACCGUUGGCGAAAGCGGCACACUGGGUCUUAACUGACGCUGAGGCACGAAAGCCAGGGGAGCAAACGGGAUUAGAUACCCCGGUA
rnacentral:rRNA from 1 species